AUGGCCACUCCAUCCUCAUCCACUUCUCCCUCCGGCUUCAGCGCCCUGAAUGGGGCCCUCCUCAGUCUCACUUGAGACCUAUGCUGUCCUCGCCUAGUGGGGGCCUCCGCCGAUGGGGUGCCUGCUGUGUCUGAGGCUUUCGAAUGAAACCCGGGGGCAGCCACAGGGCUCCAUGUUCUCGCCGCCGCCGCCGUCGCCGCAUGAGCUGGAGGACAAGAAGAGCUCCAAGGGCCAGGAGAAGAACCCCAGCCACUGGCGAACACAGAACAGGCCAAGGAGGCUGGUUGACAGGGGGCCCUGGCAGGAGAGAGAUGGUCACAAAGGGGUAGCAUUCCUGAUGAGACUGGGCCAGUGGAGUGGCCUGCCUCAGUUUCCUUUCCUGUCUCAUAUGGUUAAAUGUGUUCAUGGUAAAAUGUUUAGAGGA